rnacentral:rRNA from 1 species
AUUGAACGCUAGCGGAAUGCUUUACACAUGCAAGUCGAACGGCAGCACGGAGAGCUUGCUCUCUGGUGGCGAGUGGCGAACGGGUGAGUAAUGUAUCGGAACAUACCCAGUAGCGGGGGAUAACUACUCGAAAGGAGUGGCUAAUACCGCAUACGCCCUACGGGGGAAAGGGGGGGAGUCUUAGGACCUCUCACUAUUGGAGUGGCCGAUAUCGGAUUAGCUAGUUGGUGGGGUUAAAGG